rnacentral:rRNA from 1 species
UACGAAGGGGGCUAGCGUUGUUCGGAAUUACUGGGCGUAAAGCGCGUGUAGGCGGGUCUUUAAGUCAGGGGUGAAAUGCCAAGGCUCAACCUUGGAACUGCCUUUGAUACUGGAGACCUUGAGUCCGGGAGAGGUGAGUGGAAUUGCGAGUGUAGAGGUGAAAUUCGUAGAUAUUCGCAAGAACACCAGUGGCGAAGGCGGCUCUCUGGGACGGUACUGACGCUGAGGUGCGAAAGCGUGGGGAGCAAACAGG